CCUAACACAUGCAANUCNAGCGGCAGCGGAAAGUAUCUUGCUACUUUGCCGGCGAGCGGCGGACGGGUGAGUAAUGUCUGGGAAACUGCCUGAUGGAGGGGGAUAACUACUGGAAACGGUAGCUAAUACCGCAUAACGUCGCACCACCAAAGAGGGGGACCUUCGGGCCUCUUGCCAUCAGAUGUGCCCANAUGGGAUNAGCUAGUAGGUGGGGUAACGGCUCANCUAGGCGACGAUCCCUANCUGGUCCGAGAGGAUGACC
rnacentral:rRNA from 1 species